rnacentral:rRNA from 1 species
GACGGAAGGUGCAAGCGUUGCUCGGAAUCACUGGGCGUAAAGGGUGCGUAGGCGGCCGUGCAAGUCUGGCGUGAAAGCCCCGGGCUCAGCCCGGGAAGUGCGCUCGAGACUGCGCGGCUCGAGUGCCGGAGGGGAGAGUGGAAUUCCUGGUGUAGCGGUGAAAUGCGUAGAUAUCAGGAGGAAUACCGGUGGCGAAGGCGGGUCUCUGGGCCGAUACUGACGCUGAGGAGCGAAAGCGUGGGGAGCGAACAGG